rnacentral:rRNA from 1 species
GUGCCAGCAGCCGCGGUAAUACCAGCUCUCCGAGUGGUGUGGAUGUUUAUUGGGCCUAAAGCAUCCGUAGCUGGCUAAGUUAGUCCCUUGUUAAAUCCACCGAAUUAAUCGUUGGAUUGCGGGGGAUACUGCUUGGCUAGGGGACGAGAGAGGCAGACGGUAUUUCCGGGGUAGGGGUGAAAUCCUAUAAUCCCGGGAAGACCACCAGUGGCGAAGGCUGUCUGCUAGAACGCGCCCGACGGUGAGGGAUGAAAGCUGGGGGAGCGAACCGGAUUAGAAACCCUUGUAGUCC